AGGUAGUAGAUUGAAUAGUUGUGGAGACCUGUGCUCUCUCACUGAGAUAACUAUACAAUCUACUGUCUUUCCUAAGGCGACAGCCAAAUCAUCCACAAACAACAUGGACUCAUUUGAAAAAGUGUCUGCAUUCCUCCAUUGAGUUGGAAAGGAUAUUCCCUCACAUUACAGAAGUAAAAUGGGCUGGGAUUGACGUGUCACGUUGACAUCAUACAUACGCAAGCGUGUCAGGCGAUGGGACUGUCCUUUGGUGUCCUGACAGGGUGAGGUAGUAGGUUGUAUAGUUUGGUGGGAGGGAUCAAACCCUGUUCAGGUGAUAACUAUACAGUCUAUUGCCUUCCUUGUUGUACCAGCUAUCUGUCUGCUAGUGGAAAUUCCCUGGAGUUUAAAUAUUGCUUAAACCCUAUGCCUGCUUCACACCACAUGAACUUUGAAUAUGACGACUAGCAGUUUUAAAGCUUGUGGCGCCCUCCAGUUGUCAUACAGCUUCACGGCUCCUGAAGACUGAAGCUUUUUAGAAGCUUUUCAUAUGGAUAUUGUAGGAUAUCUACAGUAUCAGUUUCCAACAUACCGUCACUAAAAGAUCCAUUCAGAAUUGUAUUACAGUGAAAUUAUGAUUGUAGUUUUUCUGCCUGAUUCAUGUGCCAGUGUUAGAGGGUAAUGUAAUUUGAUGGCCAGUAUUAGGUUAUCUAGGCUGGGAUCUCCAUGAGGAACUUGAGAAGUCUCUUUGUCCUCUCCAGCACCGUACAUACAGGGCCGUUUUAACCAUAGGGCUAGGCGGGGCUGAAGCCCCGGGGCCCGAGCAAGGAGGGGGCCCGUGAUUGGCUGUGGAGUAGAUUGACUGGAGAGCCGAUCGCCAAAGCCACCACGCCCCCCAUUUAUUAGCGCUGUUAUUUAGUUGAGCUUUUCCGAAAAUGCCAUGCAUUACCAUUUGAGAUUGAAACGUAAGUCUGAAUUUGGUUUACCAAUCAAAUGCAUUUAUUCUAUA
rnacentral:lncRNA from 1 species